UACAGAGGGUGCAAGCGUUGUUCGGAAUUAUUGGGCGUAAAGGGCGCGUAGGCGGUGCGGUAAGUCUGCGGUGAAAUCUCCCGGCUCAACUGGGAGCUUGCAGGCGAAACUGCCGUGCUGGAGUGUGGGAGAGGUGCGUGGAAUUCCCGGUGUAGCGGUGAAAUGCGCAGAUAUCGGGAAGAACACCCGUGGCGAAGGCGGCUCUCUGGGACGGUACUGACGCUGAGACGCGAAAGCGUGGGGAGCGAACAGG
rnacentral:rRNA from 1 species